rnacentral:rRNA from 1 species
GGUUGACCUCGGAUCAGGUAGGGAUACCCGCUGAACUUAAGCAUAUCAAUAAGCGGAGGAAAAGAAACCAACAGGGAUUGCCCCAGUAACGGCGAGUGAAGCGGCAAGAGCUCAAAUUUGAAAGCUGGCUCCUUCGGGGUCCGCAUUGUAAUUUGUAGAGGAUGCU